UCUGGGGGUAGAGCACUGGAUGGAAUUUCUUGGACUUGUCCGGAUAUUCCAACCAAACUCCGAAUACCAGAAUGUAUUUAUGGAGAAGUAAGUCUACGAGGGCUAAGCUUCGUAGUCAAAAGGGAAACAACCCAGAUCCUCAUCUAAGGUCCCUAAAUUUAAACUAAGUGCAUCAAAGGAGGUGAGAUUCUUUUGACAGCUAGGAGGUUAGCUUAGAGGCAGCUACCCUUUAAAGAGUGCGUAACAGCUCACUAGUCAAAGGAUCUUGCGCCGAAGAUUCACGGGGCUAAAGUUUAAUACCGAAGAUAGGAAUGCCAGCGCUUUGCGCUGGCGUGGUAGGGGAGCGUUCUCUCGACACUGAAGCCGAACCGCGAGGUUUGGUGGAGUUGAGAGAAGUGAGAAUGUUGGCAUGAGUAACCACAAUUCCGACGCAAACUCGGAACACCGUAAACCCAAGGUUUCCUUGGCAAUGACAAUCAGCCAAGGGUUAGGCGAACCUAAGGGAAAGCCGAAAGGCGUACUCGAACGGACAGCCGGUUAAUAUUCCGGCCCUCCGAUUCUUUUUCAAGAGAGUGCGGAAUUUAGUAAGCGGGGCGAGUUAUUGGAUUCGCGUUGCUGACUUGAGCUUCGGCAAGGGUUGGCAGGAAGUCCGUCUUCGGACGGGUGAACUCCGCUGAGCAAGUUUCCUAGAAAAGCUCUCAAGAGUCAAAAGAAUUGGAAUCGUACCAAAAACCGACACAGGUGGGUGGGCGUUAGUGUGCCAAGGUGAACGAGUGAAACCUCGUCAAGGAACUAGGCAAUCAAGCGACCGUAACUUCGGGAUAAGGUCUCCCCCCACCAAUUUUGCAGCUAAAUACUCAUACAGAGAGCGAACUAUGCUGGUUAGAUAUGUUUUGCUCCGUAAGGUAUUUGGAGGCAGAAUUGGUGGGGGGCGCAGCGAAAGUUUCCCUAGCGACUGUUUAUCAAAAACACAAGUCCCUGCUCAACUCGCAAGAGGAUGUAUAGGGGCUGAGGCCUGACCAGUGCUGGAACGUUAACAGUGUCGGUCUCGCGCUUUUGCGCGCGGCUGAACGCUCGAAGCGCCAGCAAACGUCGGCGAUAACUAUGACAAGGACGGUUGUAGUUAAAAAAUUCAGCUGUAUGCGGGAAUAUCUGGUUAGUAUCUAAUAGUACUCGGCUAAAAAUCGCGAUAGCCAGUAAAAAUCUAUUAGUGCAGACAAUCCGCAGGAAAGACUUUUAGAGUUCAAAAGUCAAAAAAUAUGGAACAAAAAUGGCUUAAGACCAUACCGUGGGAAAAAGGAUGGUAUAUGGCGGGAUUUGUUGAUGGAGAAGGAAGCUUCAAUGUUUCUCUAAUCAAGAGGGAUGAUUACAGAUUAAAAUGGAGAGUUGUUCCGAUAUUUAAUGUGUCCCAAAGAGACAAAAGUGUACUUUUCCUGAUGAAAAAGUACUUAGGAUGCGGGAGAAUACAACAAAGAAAAGAUGGGUUGAGUAUGUAUAUUGUAGAAAAUCCUACGGCAAUCAAAGAAAGAGUCAUCCCCUUUUUCAAAAGAUUUUCCUUUCUCUCCCCCAAGUCAAAAACGAAUUUUUCCAUUUUUUGCCAGAUUGUAAAGUUGCUGGGCGAAAAUGCGAAAAUGGAUAAAGCUUUACUCAUUAAGGUUUGCCGGUUGAGAGAGGAAUUGAACAAAGGAAGAGGCAGAAAAAGAAAAUAUAAUUUAAGCGAUAUAAGAUAGAACUCUAAAAGAAUCCCCAGAGACUAUACGCUGAAUCCCCUGAAUUAUCAAAAGGGGAAUGAUAUAGUCCGAUCUUGCAGGCGACUGCGAGUAUCUCUAAAAAGAGAAUUAACAAAAUGAAUCGUCCAAAGGUAGCGUAAUCCCUUGCCAGGUAAUUUCUGGCCCGCAUGAAUGGCUUAACGGCUGGGGAGCUGUCUCGACGAGGUGCUCGGUGAAAAUGCAGUUCCGGUAAAGAUGCCGGAUACUUGCGGCUAGACGGAAAGACCCCGGGAGCUUUACUAUAUCUAGAUAUUGGUCUUUGGUUUUGGAUGCAGAGAAUAGCGGGGAGGCUUUGAAGCUUCGCCUUCGGGCGGAGUGGAGCCGUCAGUGGAAUACCCGUCUUUCAAAAUUUUAGUUCUAACCCGCCUUAGGCGGGGACAGUGUCUGGUGGGUAGUUUAAGUGGGGCGCUUUUCUCCUAAAAAGUAACGGAGAAGUUUAUAAGGUCAGCUAGCUCCGGAUGGAAAUCGGAGUGAUUGUAUAAAGGCAUAAGCUGGCUUUACUGCAAGGCGGGUAUGCCGCGCAGUCUCGAAAGAGGAACUUAGUGAACCGACCUUGGUUCAUAGAACCGAGGAAGAUCAUCAAACAAAAGUUACCCCGGGGAUAACAGGCUGGUAGGGCCCGAGAGUCCACAUCUACGGCCCUGUUCGGCACCUC
rnacentral:rRNA from 1 species